rnacentral:lncRNA from 1 species
UAGAGUUUAAGAUCAUCCUUAAGAUCCAUUUGAACUUGAAUGAGAGUUAAUUGUAAUAUUUUUCAGAGUUAAAAGGAUUCAAAGCUUGUUAUUAAUUUUAAAUUUAAUUUAGAAUAUUGGAGGAGACUAAUAGUAAGUAUAUUUGAAUCAGGUAAAAAACCGGUAUCCCCUCUAAUUCUAUUUUUCAUAUUCUUUAAAAAGCAAAUAUUUCAUAUCUAUUUUACCGUUAUCUACUCUCAUUCUAUUUUUCAUAUACCUAAAGAGCAACAUAUUUAUCUUUCUUAUUUUUUCUCCUUUAAAAUAUCUCGUAUAUUUAUCUUUAUUAAAGUUUAUAUUUUUUUCUCUUUAAAAUAUCUCACAUAUUUGUCUUUCUUAAAGCUCAUAUUCGUUUUGGUAUAUCUCUCAUAUAUUUUACUCUCUAUUAUAUGUCUUAAUUUUUUUAUUCAAUUGGUUGUCGUAUGAUGUAUCUGUUUUUGGCAAUUCGGACUUUCUUUUUUAGGAGUUCGGAUUUUAAAAACUCAUAUUAAUGGGAUGCACUUUUUUAAAAAAAACUCAUAUUAAUGGAAUGCACUUUUUAAAAACGAAAUCUCUGUACCUAUCUAAAGAGAGAUGUUUUUAGAAACUAUUAUCUCUAUGCCUAUUUAAUUUAGAAAUUAUUCUAUCUCUCACUUAAUUUUCUCUUUCCCACUUGUACAUCGCUUAAACUUAACUUUUUUUUUUUUAUACACAUAUCCACUACUUAAACUUAACUUAAUAUUGUAUUAGUAGAUAAUACCAUUAACGUGAUGGAGUAAUCUUAUAAUGUUUAAACUUUAUAUAUAUAUAUAUAGAAAAGAUUCUGAGUAAUAUUAAAUUUUAGGUUCGGAAGAUGGGUAAAAGAAUAGGGGAGAAUUACAACAAUAUUUAUUCACUAUGGAUGUAAUUAUGUACCUCUCUAUGUCAUUAUGUGAUUAUCCAUGUAACUAUAUACCUGUCAUUACGUCCCUUUCUGCUCCUCCCUCAAGUAACUAUGUACUCUUUAUGCCACUAUGUCCCUUUCUACUCUUCCUUCGGAUAAUCAAGCGUAUCGAUCUUCAUCUACAUGCGUCUUCCCUCGGAUAAUCAAGCACAAUCAAGCGCAUUGAUCCUCAUCUAUAUGCGUUUUCCCUCGGGUAAUCAAGCGCAUCCAUCCUCAUCGAUAUGCGUUUCUCUUCUACUCUCAUGUAUACAUUGAAGGAGUUCAUAUUGGCUCUAUCUAUUAUUUUCCUUUUUUGUUAGUCAUGUAAUAAAGUGUAACGAAGGAG